rnacentral:lncRNA from 1 species
GGCAUACAGGUGAGAUGUAAGGGUACAUCUGCACUGAACGUGACCGACUCCGGAGCUAUUUCUGCUAUCAAGAUUUGCUUCGAUGGAAUAUGGGUAUAAAUGUUCCUCCGACCUGAGAUCACCACGGUGACUUGCAAGCAACUCACUGCACUUAGACACUGGACUACCUGAAUUUCUAAUUCAGUGACGGAAGGCUGCUGGGUGUAGUCAAGUACUUGACUUGUCGGUGCAUGUGUCAAGAUGGGAUUGACCACUCCAGUUUAGGAGCUGUGUACAGUCGUGUUUCAAUUUAGCAAAAUCUUGGCCAGGGUAGUCCUUGUGAGGAGUCACAGGACUGUU